ACGAGAUCACUGAGAGACGGCCUGAGAGUCCAGCUGGUUAGCACAUGCUUCAGGUCAGAACUUCCCACCAGCGCGCCACACGCGCGUGAAACAAGACAGAGAUGCCCCGGCUUCCCGGUGGCCAGUGCAAAGCCAGCCACAGGCCCUGGGCUGGUGGCUGUCCUCCUGCGUGAAUGCUGCACCCACGAGUCCCAGGUGCCUUCCCAACGGGGUCGUUUCCGUGGACGCCAAGUGGUGACAAAGCACACCAGCGUCUCCCCGAACACCUAGCGGCAGUAAACAAAGCUGCAAUUACAGACGGCGGUUCUUCUGGGCUGCGGGUGCCAGGCAGCUUCUGUGGGAGCACCAGGACCUCACGGGUGGCUGUGUGUCAGCAGGAGGAGUCCAGAGGUGCAGCCAUCCUGUGGGAGGGUCACAGCCGAGGGUGCCUGCGCCCCCUGCACACGAGGAAGGCAGAGUUCCAUCCGUGCACAGUCAACGAGAACACGCAACCUACUGACCCUCGGUUUUGAAAGAAAAUAUAUAAAAAAAAUAGUAUUGCUGUCAGAUAGUGAGACUUGCCUCACCAGAGAACUUGUCUGCUAGGUGUUUAUAUUUACAUUUGUUUAUAUCUCUAUUUAAUUAUUUCAGCAGGAAGCAUGAGGUCUCUGGACCACAGUCACAAAGCACCUUGGCAGUCCCAGUUCCCGUGCCUCAGUUUCCCAAGUACUUUCCCCUAAGUGUCUCAGAGUUUUGCUUUAUGCUUAAGUCCAUGGUUCAUUUUGAGUUAAUCUUUGUAUAACACAUAAAACUUAGAUCAAGAUUAAGGACCCCCCCACCCUGCGUUUUCUGCCCCUGUGGAGGUCAAUUGCUUCACUAUUUGUAUUUGUCAUAAAGGCAGUAUUUUCACCCUGGCUGGUGCAGGUCGGUGGGUGGAGCGCUGGCCUGUGAACCGAGGCAUCACUGGUUCAAUUCCCAGUCCGGGCAUAUGCCUCAGUUGUGGGCCAGGUCCCUGGUUGGGGGUGUGGGAGAAGAGGCUGGUAGACGUUUCUUUUGCACAUGUCUACACAUUGAUGUUUCUCUCCCUCUCUCCCCCUCUGGAAAUAAAUACAUAAAAUCUUUUUUAAAAAGG